rnacentral:rRNA from 1 species
CGGACGGGUGAGUAACACGUGGAUAACCUACCUAUAAGACUGGGAUAACUUCGGGAAACCGGAGCUAAUACCGGAUAAUACAUUGAACCGCAUGGUUCAAUAGUGAAAGACGGUUUUGCUGUCACUUAUAGAUGGAUCCGCGCCGCAUUAGCUAGUUGGUAAGGUAACGGCUUACCAAGGCAACGAUGCGUAGCCGACCUGAGAGGGUGAUCGGCCACACUGGAACUGAGACACGGUCCAGACUCCUACGGGAGCAGCAGAC